AAAGAUUCUGCUACUGGAACUGGGGCCAUUUCCAGGACAUCCAGACAUGAGUUAUUGCUGGUGAAAAGGAUGUUUAAGCAGAGUGAGAGACUCUCAGCAAAAAAAGGUAACUGAAAGAGUGGUAAGUCAGACAAAGAAGAAAAAUGCCAAAGAAGAGGGUCAAGAACAACUCAUAUGACUCCGAAAUCCCUUACCCACAUUGGAGUUAUAAAAAGUUCAGGAGCUGGAGACAAAAGAUGAGAAAAUUGAAGCCAACAGAAGUUAACUAACUUGCCUAAAAUAACACAGCUGUGGCAAAUUAGGACCAGAACCAAGGUCUCCUGACCUAAGUGCUACUCCCACCAUACUACAUGAUCUGCUGUUUAAAAUUUUGGUGAGCUUUAUAACAUAAAUAAAACUACAGAUGUGAAGGACUACUGAAAUCUGCAUCCAUAACAUUUAAAAACUUAAAGAUACUAGUCAAAGGAGUUUAUCAGCUUCUGAAAAAUAUGUUUAGCAAUUCUGAAAAUAUUUUAAGGGAAACUGUAAGUCUCAA
rnacentral:lncRNA from 10 species